rnacentral:rRNA from 1 species
CCUAGAGUGGCAAACGGGUGAGUAACACAUUGGUAACCUACCUCGAGGUGGGGCAUAACCCGGCGAAAGCUGGGCUAAUUCCGCAUGAAGACGGGGGGACGCAAGUCAUUCCCAUCUAAAGAUUCAUCGCCUCGAGAGGGACCUAUGGCCUAUCAGCUAGUUGGUGAGGUAAUGGCUCACCAAGGCUACGACGGGUAGCGGGCGUUAGCGCGUGACCCGCCUCACUGGGACUGAGACACUGCCCAGACUCCUACGGGAGGCUGCAGUCGAGAAUUUUCCCCAAUGGCCGCAAGGCUGAGGGAGCGACGCCGCGUGGUGGAAGAAGCCCUUCGGGGUGUAAACACCUUUUCUCAGGGACGAAUUCAUGACGGUACCUGAGGAAUAAGGGGCUGCUAAACUCGUGCCAGCAGCAGCGGUAAUACGAGUGCCCCAAGCGUUAUCCGGAUUUAUUGGGCGUAAAGAGUCUGUAGGCGGCUAGGUAGGUCGACGGUCAAAUCCCAGAGCUUAACUCUGGAACUGCCGUUGAUACCGCUUGGCUCGAGGCCGGAAGAGGUAGAUGGAAAUGCCGGUGUAGGGGUAAAAUCCGUUAAUAUCGGCAAGAACACCAAAUGCGAAGGCUUUCUACUAGGACGGCCCUGACGCUGAGAGACGAAAGCGUGGGUAGCGAAUGGGAUUAGAUACCCCAGUAGUCCACGCCGUAAACGAUGGAUGCUUGACAUUGGCAGUAUCGACCCUGCCGGUGUCGCUCAAACAAGCUAACGCCUUAAGCAUCCCGCCUGGGGAGUACGGCCGCAAGGCUAAAACUCAAAGGAAUUGACGGGGACCCGCACAAGCGGUGGAGCAUGUGGUUCAAUUCGACGAUAAGCGAGAAACCUUACCAAGGCUUGACAUGGCGCUGCAUGUCCGAGAAAUCGGGCAGCCUUCGAGGGUGCGCCACAGGUGUUGCAUGGUUGUCGUCAGCUCGUGUCGUGAGAUGUACCGUUAAGUCGGGUAACGAGCGCAACCCCUAUCCUGCGUUACAUUAUUCGCGGGGAACUGCCCUCGUACAGAGGGAGGAAGGCGGGGACGACGUCAAAUCAGCAUGGCCCUUACGCCUUGGGCUACACACGUGCUACAAUGGCCGGUACAAAGGGUUGCUAAGCCGCAAGGCGGAGCCGAUCCCACCAAAACCGGUCCCAGUUCAGAUCGGGGUCUGCAACCUGACCCCGUGAAGUCGGAAUCGCUAGUAACCGCGUAUCAGCACGUCGCGGUGAAUACGUUCUCGGGUCUUGUACACACCGCCCGUCACGUCAAGAGAGUCGGUAGCGCCCGAAUGCUGCUGUAUGGCGGCAAAAGGUGAGACCGAUGAUAGGGACGAAGUCGUAACAA